rnacentral:lncRNA from 1 species
AAAAGCUUUUUAUAGAUUAAAUAAGGAAAUCACAAAGUAUCCCUUAGGGUUUCAUCAAAGAUCCUAAUAGAAAAGUUCAGUUAGACAUCUUACAGAAAAUUUCAAGAGAAAAAUCUAAAAGAAACGUGAAAUGAUUAGGAAUAAUCGACUAGAAGAAAUUCUUGAUGUCUGCAACCGUCGUCUCUUUUCUCCUCCUCUCCAGUCUCCUUUUCUUUUUGGGCUCCUCCUCUUUUUAUAUCAUUCAAGACCUAAUAUUCUGAUCUGACACUUCCCACAGCAGUGUCGAAUUGACACACAACC